CUUCCCCUUAGGCUGGACGAUGGACACAGUCAAUGCCAGCACCCCAUGCCGCCCUUGGUCAGGGCAGCUGCCAGCUCAGGUCACUCUGAACGCCAGUCUCCUCCUCUUCUCCGGGUAUUCCAGCUUCCCCGGCCUGACCACACUCCCCUCCCCCCUGGCCGAGGCACCUCUGGCGCGGUUGCAGCCGCGGAGAACUCGAGGAGACCUGGCCGCCUCCCCUGGAAAUUACCUUCUAAUAGAAACCAAGAACGCGCGAAUACAACUAAUUACGGACGGUGGCUAGUACCGUGUAGGAAAUACACAGGGAGCUGUGGUAGAAACUAACAGGCCUCCUCAGGAUGUAUGACGUGUCACUUGACCCUCCUCUACUUGGCCUGGGCCCCAGGCAUACUUUUGCAAAGUUCUCUGACUCCUGGUUUGGAAUACUGUCCUCUGAUUAGCUCAGCAUCAUUCUUCAGAUCUCUGCUCAAGUGUUACGGAGUGUGUGACGCCUUUCUUGAUUUCCCCAGCCAGACUCCUUGUUGCUGCUUCUACUUUUUCUUACCCCUAUACUAAGGGCCAUUAGAGCACAUAUCACUAUUUCAUUUGUUUGCAUAUCUGUAUAAGGAAAAGCCACAGUUCAGUCUUUCUCUUGAAUAGAGAAAAACUCAGUCC